GCAGUAGCCGCGGUAAUACGAAGGGGGCUAGCGUUGCUCGGAAUGACUGGGCGUAAAGGGCGCGUAGGCGGUUUGCACAGUCGGGUGUGAAAUUCCUGGGCUUAACCUGGGGGCUGCAUUCGAGACGUGUAGGCUUGAGUGGGGAAGAGGGUCGUGGAAUUCCCAGUGUAGAGGUGAAAUUCGUAGAUAUUGGGAAGAACACCGGUGGCGAAGGCGGCGACCUGGUCCUUUACUGACGCUGAGGCGCGAAAGCGUGGGGAGCAAACAGGAUUAGAUACCCCCGUAGUCCCUGUCUCUUAUAC
rnacentral:rRNA from 1 species